rnacentral:rRNA from 1 species
GAUCCUGGCUCAGGAUGAACGCUGACAGAAUGCUUAACACAUGCAAGUCUACUUGAUCCUUCGGGUGAUGGUGGCGGACGGGUGAGUAACGCGUAAAGAACUUGCCCUGCAGUCUGGGACGAACAUUUGGUAAACGGAAAUGCUAAUACCGGAUAUUAUGUGAGUUUCGUCAUGAAAUUACAUAUGAAAGCUAUAUGCGCUGCAGGAGAGCUUUGCGUCCUAUUAG